rnacentral:rRNA from 1 species
GUUGGGCCUGCUCGGUGAGAAGAAAAAUUUAACAGCUGCGGUAUUAUAACUGUACUAAGGUAGCAUAAUAAUUUGCCUUAUAAAUUAAGGCUAGAAUGAAUGGUUUGACGAAAAUUAGACUGUCUUUAUUUUAUUUGUUAGAAAUUAAUUUUUAUAGUGAAAAAGCUUGAAUAAUUUAAGGGGACGAGAAGACCCUAUUGAGCUUUAUUUAUUAAUAUUUAAAUAUAAAUAUAUAAUUUAUAUUAUGAAAAUUAUGUUGUAUAUAUAUAUAUUUAAUUGGAUUUAAUUUUGAUUGGGGUGAUCAAGGAAUAAAGAUAAAGUAACUUCCUUAAAAUUAAUGAUUGUUUUUAUAGAGUAAUAAACCAAGUUUUUUGCUUAUAAGAUAAGUUACCAUAGGGGUAACAGCGUAAUUUUUUUUGAGAGUUCAUAUUGAAAAAAGAGAUUGCGACCUCGAUGUUGGAUUAAAAAUUACCUUAAGG